rnacentral:rRNA from 1 species
AAUGAACGCUGGCGGCGCGCCUAAUACAUGCAAGUCGAGCGAGAAGACGUAGCAAUACGUUUGUAAAGCGGCGAACGGGUGAGGAAUACAUGGGUAACCUACCCUCGAGUGGGGAAUAACUAGCCGAAAGGUUAGCUAAUACCGCGUACGCUCCUUGGACUUUGGUUCAGGGAGGAAAGCGAUACCGUGGGUAGUCGCGCUCUUGGUUGGGCUCAUGUCCUAUCAGCUUGUUGGUGAGGAACGGCUCACCAAGGCUUCGACGGGUAGCUGGUCUGAGAGGACGAUCAGCCACACUGGCACUGCGACACGGGCCAGACUCCUACGGGAGGCAGCAGUAAGGAAUAUUGCGCAAUGGGCGAAAGCCUGACGCAGCGACGCCGCGUGGGGGAGUGAA